ACGGAGAUGUAAGAAAACCAAGAUCUACAACGGCAGUUGCAUUCUUGAUCAAAACCAGUUGGACUGCACAAUUAUGAAGUGUUAUUGGGACAUAACCAGGUUGGUAAGUGUCAUCGGCGCAUUGAACAUAGGAUCACCUCCAAUCUUGCAGUUCUCAUGAUCAACAGUCAGCGAUUUAGGUAGCACAAACCCCCCACAGGCAUCAGAGUCCUCGAGGUCUUGGCUGCUGCUGUUGCUAGCUUCACGACGUUGUUUCUUAUGAGAAAAAGAAUCUUCGGUCAGCUCCCUUCUGCGUUUUUUCUUCUUUAAUGAAUUCCAUUUGAAUUGAGGAUCCUUGGUCAGAUCUGGGAUGUCUCCCUCUCCAUCGGUCGAUGUAUAUCCUCCACUUGGUGUGAUCUCAUCUUGGUCUGU
rnacentral:lncRNA from 1 species